rnacentral:ncRNA from 1 species
UGAUUAAGGGAUAAAAACACAUUAUGGUUGGUAGUCCAUAAACAUAACUUAAGUGUCAGUAACCUUCCCUCCUCGGGUUGUCCUUUUCCUUAUUAGUUUAU